rnacentral:rRNA from 1 species
UAGGGAAUCUUCGGCAAUGGACGAAAGUCUGACCGAGCAACGCCGCGUGAGUGAAGAAGGUUUUCGGAUCGUAAAACUCUGUUGGUAGAGAAGAACGUUGGUGAGAGUGGAAAGCUCAUCAAGUGACGGUAACUACCCAGAAAGGGACGGCUAACUACGUGCCAGCAGCCGCGGUAAUACGUAGGUCCCGAGCGUUGUCCGGAUUUAUUGGGCGUAAAGCGAGCGCAGGUGGUUUAUUAAGUCUGGUGUAAAAGGCAGUGGCUCAACCAUUGUAUGCAUUGGAAACUUGUAGACUUGAGUGCAGGAGAGGAGAGUGGAAUUCCAUGUGUAGCGGUGAAAUGCGUAGAUAUAUGGAGGAACACCGGAGGCGAAAGCGGCUCUCUGGCCUGUAACUGACACUGAGGCUCGAAAGCGUGGGGAGCAAACA